CACGUAGGCACCAAGCGUUGUCCGGAUUUAUUGGGCGUAAAGAGCUCGUAGGCGGUCUGUCGCGUCUGCUGUGAAAACUCAGGGCUUAACCCUGAGCUUGCAGUGGGUACGGGCAGACUAGAGUGCGGUAGGGGAGACUGGAAUUCCUGGUGUAGCGGUGAAAUGCGCAGAUAUCAGGAGGAACACCGGUGGCGAAGGCGGGUCUCUGGGCCGUAACUGACGCUGAGGAGCGAAAGCAUGGGGAGCGAACAGG
rnacentral:rRNA from 1 species